rnacentral:rRNA from 1 species
UACGGGGGGGGCUAGCUUUGUUCGGAAUUACUGGGCGUAAAGGGCGCGUAGGCGGUCUGCUAAGUUGGAUGUGAAAACUCUGGGCUUAACCCAGAGCCUGCAUUCAAUACUGACAGGCUAGAGUUCUGGAGGGGAUAGCGGAAUUCCUGGUGUAGCGGUGAAAUGCGUAGAUAUCGAGAGGAACACCUGCGGCGAAGGCGGGUUGCUGGGCUGACACUGACGCUGAGGCGCGAAAGCUAGGGGAGCGAACGGG